AUGAACACAGUUGGAGUAACUGGCUGAACUGAGUGAGUCGCACCAUUUACAGUGACGCACACAUAACAGAUGGCAGCUUCUGAGCCAGCUGCCAGCCCCACGCUCUUCACUAAAAAAGUGGCUUUCAUUUUUUUUUUCCCAGAAUAACAGCGAUAUGAACAGUUCUUUUUAGUGAUAAAUGUUUGAUACAACCAUUGGCAUUUAAGCAGCAGUGGAGAACUGUCCCUUAGCCCAGGCUGAGCAGAGGAAAAAGAAGUGCCGCUGCCUAUACUGCAACUGUGCCUGUCUGUAACGCAGGCACCAUCUGUGACUUUACCAGGAUAGCCCGUGUCAGAAGCAGUGGACUGGCAUCAAGUCUAGAUGAUUAAACUGCAAACUCCUUUUGGAUCCUACAGAAAAUGGAGACUAGGACUUCUUCCUGAUUCAGGAGAUCUAACCUGCUUCCGCUGUCAACUCACAACUUCGAAUACCAGAGGAGGCACUAUUUAAGAACACCUUUCAGCUUGAGAUCUACCCAAGUACAAACAGUUGAUUAUGCACCUAAACCAGUGAUGAGUCAGGAAUCUGGUGCCUCAGUUUGCCCUACCUGCGCAAGUAUUUCAUCCAGCCACAUAGCAUGAUGCUGUGGAUUGGCUAGCAGCCACUUGA